CCGGAGCCUGUAGACACUCAGACAACAAUUAUAAAUGCUCAGGAGGAGGAAGCGAACAAAACAGCCACUGCCUACGUUGAAGCAUCCAAGGCUCGUAUCGCUCAGUAUGAAAAACAGCUGGAAAAAUUCAA